UGGACAGAUUAUUGUAUUCGACUGUAUUCGACUAUAUUCACGGCGUGAAACAGGGGAUUACACUGUUUUUAAACGAAAAGUGAAUCAAUUAACAUAAUAGACUCCU
rfam:Nicotiana attenuata strain TT chromosome 7, whole genome shotgun sequence.